GACGAACGCUGGCGGCGUGCUUAACACAUGCAAGUCGAACGAAGUGGCGAACGGGUGAGUAACGCGUAAUCAACCUGCCCUUCAGAGGGGGACAACAGUUGGCAACGACUGCUAAUACCGCAUACUGAAGGAGGGGAUUGCGUCUGGUUAGCUAGUUGGCGGGGUAACCGCCCACCAAGGCGGAGAUCAGUAGCCGGGCCUGAAGGAUGGACGGCCCAAAUGGGACUGAGAAACGGCCCAGACUCCUAACGGAGGCAGCAGUGGGGAAUCUUUCGCAAUGGAGGAAAGUCUGACGGAGCAACGCCGCGGGGGUGAUGACGGGCUUCGGGUUGUAAAGCUCUGUUAAUCGGGACGCGGUACCGGAAUAGAAAGCCACGGCUAACUACGUGCCAGCCGCCGCGGUAAUAC
rnacentral:rRNA from 1 species